CUGCCACAAUGAACCAGUCUGGUUUCGACCUGACUAGGUGGCUCACACCAGUGCUUCGGACAGCGGUUCGAUUCCGCUCAGCUCCACUUAACGGGGCUGCAAUGGUUUCGACGGGGUAUAAGGAGGGUGACUGAAGCCUGCUCGGUAAGAGCAAA
rnacentral:tmRNA from 1 species